ensembl:lncRNA
GGGGACAUCGGGGACCCCUCUGGGGACCCCUGUGGGGACAUUUGGGGACACCCCCCCCCUGUGGUGCCACCCAGGGGGUCCCCGGGGGUGUCCCCAAGGGGGUCCCCAGCUUCUGGUGGCCUCGGGGACAUCUCUGGUGGCCUUGGGGACAUCUCUGGUGGCCUCGGGGACACUUCAGGUGACCUUGAGGACAUUUCUGGUGGUCUUGGGGACAUCUCUGGUGACCUUGGGAUCAUCUCUGGUGGCCUUGGGAUCAUCUCUGGUGGCCUUGGGGACAUCUCUGGUGGCCUUGGGGACACUUCAGGUGGCCUUGGAGACAUCUCUGGUGGCCUUGGGGGCAUCUCUGGUGACCUUGGGAUCAUCUCUGGUGGCCUUGGGGACANNNNNNNNNNAUGACCGAUCUUGACCCAUCAAUGACCGAUCUUGCCUCAAUGUCUGGUCUUGGGUCAAUGAUGACCAAUCUUGACCCAUCGAUGACCGAUCUUGGGUCAGUGUCCGAUCUUGACCCAUCGAUGACCGAUCUUGACCCAUUGAUGUCCGAUCUUGACCCAACGAUGACCGAUCUUGGGUUAAUGUCUGGNNNNNNNNNNAUCUUGGGUUAAUGUCUGGUCUUGACCCAUCAAUGUCCGGUCUUGACUCAUCGAUGACCGAUCUUGGGUCAAUGUCUGAUCUUGACCCAUUGAUGACCGAUCUUGACCCCUUGAUGACCGAUCUUGACCCAUCGAUGACCGAUCUUGGGCCAAUGACCGAUCUUGACCCAACGAUGACCGAUCUUGACCCAACGAUGACCAAUCUUGACCCAUCAAUGACCGAUCUUGACCCAUCAAUGACUGAUCUUGCCUCAAUGUCUGGUCUUGGGUCAAUGAUGACCAAUCUUGACCCAUCGAUGACCGAUCUUGGGUCAAUGUCUGAUCUUGACCCAUCGAUGACCGAUCUUGACCCAUUGAUGUCCGAUCUUGACCCAACGAUGACCGAUCUUGACCCAACGAUGACCGAUCUUGACCCAGCGAUGACCGAUCUUGACCCAUCAAUGACCGAUCUUGGGCCAAUGUCCGAUCUUGACCCAACGAUGACCGAUCUUGGGUUAAUGUCUGGUCUUGACCCAUCAAUGUCCGGUCUUGACCCAUCGAUGACCGAUCUUGACCCAUCAAUGACCGAUCUUGGGCCAAUGUCCAGUCUUGACCCAUCGAUGACCGAUCUUGGGCCAAUGUCUGGUCUUGACCCAUCGAUGAUCGAUCUUGACCCAUCAAUGACCGAUCUUGGGUCAAUGACCGGUCUUGACCCAUCGAUGACCGAUCUUGACCCAACGAUGACCGAUCUUGACCCAUCGAUGACCGAUCUUGGGCCAAUGUCCAAUCUUGACCCAACGAUGACCGAUCUUGACCCAACGAUGACCGAUCUUGACCCAACGAUGACCGAUCUUGGGCCAAUGAUGACCGAUCUUGACCCAACGAUGACCGAUCUUGACCCAUCGAUGACCGAUCUUGCCUCAAUGUCCGCUCUCCACCCGCCGCUCUCCCCUCCUGACCCUCCGUUCCCGACCCACCCCCCCCUCCUGCCUCCCCACCGCCAACCCCCCGCCCACCACCGCCC